rnacentral:lncRNA from 1 species
CUAGAACCUAGGUGAGGUUCCGUGGGCUGAGGUCUGGAGCCGAUGACCAAGAAAGAAUUCUUGAGACAUCUUUGGUGCAAAAUGGUGGUUUAUUAAAGCACGGGGACAGGACCCGUGGGCAGGAAGAGCUGCUGCCCUGGGUUGUGAGGGAGAGUUCAUGCCAAUACUUCUUAAACUCUUCCUCAAAAACUGAAGAAAACGGAACAUUUCUAAACUCAUUUUUGAGGCCAGCAUUACGUUGACACCAAAACCACACAAAGACACUCCAAGGAAAGAAAACUACAGGUUUUCCUAAUAACUACAGGUUAUAACUACAGGUUAUUUCCUAAUAACGAAAGAUAGAUGCAAAAUUCAAAAAAAAUAAAAAAAUUCAAAAAAAU